UCCCUGGUGGUCCAGCGGUUAAGGCUCUAUACUUCCAAUGCAGGGGACUCGGGUUCCAACCCUGGUCAAGGAA
rnacentral:tRNA from 1 species